rnacentral:misc_RNA from 1 species
GAUGAAGAACGCAGCGAAAUGCGAUAAGUAAUGUGAAUUGCAGAAUUCAGUGAAUCAUCGAAUCUUUGAACGCACAUUGCGCCCGCCAGCACUCUGGCGGGCAUGCCUGUUCGAGCGCCAUUUCAACCAUCAAGCCCCCAGGGGCUUGUGCUGGGGCCCUGCGGCUGCCCGCAGGCCCUGAAAACCAGUGGCGGGCUCGCUAGUCACACCGAGCGCAGUAGCACAUCUCGCUCAGGGCGUGCGGCGGGCUCCUGCCGUGAAACCCCCCACUGUAACCCCAAAGGUUGACCUCGGAUCAGGUAGGAAUACCCGCUGAACUUAAGCAUAUCAAUAAGCGGAGGA